GUGAAUGAUGCUGCUGAGAACAUUCAUGUACAAGAUUCUGUAUACACAUAUAUUUUCAUGUUUCUUGGGUAGCUACCUGAGAGAGGAGUUGCUGCCUAAGAGUAGUAAGGAAAGUAUAUGCUUAACUUCCUAAGAAACUGCCCAGCUGUUUUUUGAAGUGACUGUACCAUCGACAUUCACACAGCAAUAUGAAAAUUCAGUUUCUCCACAUCUGUGCCAACACUUGGUAUUGGAGGUCUUUUGAAUAAUAGCCUCUUGUGGGUGUCCCAUGUGGCAUUAAAUUGUAUUUCCCUAAUGACUAGUGAUGUUGAGCAUCUUUUAGUAUGUCUAUUGGCCAU
rnacentral:lncRNA from 1 species